GUGAAUUUGGUAUGGUCUCCCAAAAAGCCACAUAGCCAACUGCGUAGCAUAUUGUUUUUCAUAGCUAAAAGAAGGGGGAAGUCUGUCAGACACACUUUAGAGCUUAGAAACUUGCUACACGAGGAAACAUUUUCUAAAUCAUGGGCAAACUGUCUGUAUUUUUGUUUGUUCUUUCCUUUUACACCAUUGUCAACUCAGGUUCAGGAUCACAUUCUCUGUGGGCACUUGCAACAUAUAUAAGCGGAGAGACACCUUUCCCUGAGUUUACGGUUGUGGUGAUGUUGGAUGAUGUUCAAGUGGCUUACUAUGACUCCAACAUGAAACACUUCAUCUACAGGGGUCAUAACACCCCUAACAAAAUACAUGAUGACGAAGCUAAGAACGGAGAUUUUGUAUUUGGAGUUAUGUACCACCACAUGAAGGAGAGAUACUUUCACCUAAAGCACCACUUGAAUCUCACAGAAGGUGUUCAAGUUCAGCAAAGAAUGGCUGGCUGUGAGAUGUUUGACAAUGGUGAACCAGCCCUGAUCAUGACAAAGAACACUUUCAAUGCAGUUUUUGCAGAUCAUGCAAUAUAUUACAACAUUACACAUUUUACAUAUGAUGCUGGUAAACUACUUCAAGGAUGGGAUGGGAUGAGGCAAGCACAAGAAAAAAUUCUUUAUGAGAAUGUUUUACUUACCCUUUGCAUCAGAACACUGAAGACAAUCCUGAAAAGAGAGAAGAACAUUGUGAUGCGUAAAGUUCCUCCCAGACUCAGGUUGAUAAAGAAAGAGGUUUCUGGAGGGUUUCAGGUGAGCUGCCUGGUGUUUGGUUUCUACCCCCGCCACAUCAACCUGACCCUGCUGAGAGACGGCCAGCCAGUGGCGGAACAGGAGCUGACAGGGGGGGAGGUGCUGCCUAGUGGAGAUGGGACCUACCAGCUGAGGAAGAGUCUGGAGGUCAGUACUGAGGAGCUAAAGAAGAGACACAACUACACCUGUCCACCCUCUCAGUUCUACUGGUGAUGCUGCUGAUUCUUAUUCUAUUGGUCACAUUCAUUUGUGUCAAAAGGAGGUGGAGUAACACUGCCUCCCAGUCUGAACUUGCCAACGUUGAUGCAAAAGUCUCAGAGGAAAUGAACCUGUCUUCAGAUUCUGAGAACUAAUAUAUUCUUGGGACACUGAUGCAGCUUUGUCAAUUCAGCUCAGUUCACAAUGAAAAUAUGACUGUCAGAGCACCCAUCAGAGCAGACAUAAAAUGUACGAAUGAUUCUGAUAUUGCUAGUCAAUCUUCCCCUCAACAACAGACUGUAAAGUAUCAGUAUGGGGAGACUGUUGACAAUAACAAAUAUCUGGGCAUUAGUCUAGAUCUGCAUUUAUAUAUUUGAUAUGCUGGUUUGGCAUCCUGAGCAUUAACAAAGGUAAUCUGUUAGUUAUUUUGUGAUGUAAUCUGUCAUUUCUAAUCAUGACUAUUCAUGACUAUUCAUUAACUGUACAAUUCUAUCUGUGGUGUAUUAGCUGAUAUCCAGUAUCUUAACCAGAAGGAGAAUCUAGUGAUCAUGUGUAUGAGGUCUAUUUAUUAUUGGAAAGACUUUACAGUGUCUGUGUUGUAUUGUAUGUAGUGUAUAUUACCCCCAGGCUGUACAAUAAUACCUUUAUUACAGACAAUGAAAUGUAGCCUAAUCGAUUAAUGCAUUGAUUCAUGUUAACUACGACAUUAAUUUAAACAAUGUCAGGUAUACCGUAACUUCUCUCAAGAACUUGUUUAUCAUGGUGGAAGGGAGAGAUAUCUGACCCUAUUUCUCUCCAGUUUAAGACUGGCAUGAGGAAUAAACUAAGGUAAAUGUUGUAUGCAUUAUAAACAAUUAAAAAGUUUUUUGAUAGAA